rnacentral:sRNA from 1 species
UAAAAAGGACCCGUCGGCUAAAAGCGCUGACGUCCUGUCAGCAACGCCGACACUAGCACAUCCUGUGCG